AUUGAACGCUGGCGGCAUGCCUUACACAUGCAAGUCGAACGGCAGCACGGGUGCUUGCACCUGGUGGCGAGUGGCGAACGGGUGAGUAAUACAUCGGAACAUGUCCUGUAGUGGGGGAUAGCCCGGCGAAAGCCGGAUUAAUACCGCAUGCGAUCUACGGAUGACAGCGGGGGACCUUCGGGCCUCGCGCUAUAGGGUUGGCCGAUGGCUGAUUAGCUCGUUGGUGGGGUAAAGGCCUACCAAGGCGACGAUCAGUAGCUGGUCUGAGAGGACGACCAGCCACACUGGGACUGAGACACGGCCCAGACUCCUACGGGAGGCAGCAGUGGGGAAUUUUGGACAAUGGGCGAAAGCCUGAUCCAGCAAUGCCGCGUGUGUGAAGAAGGCCUUCGGGUUGUAAAGCACUUUUGUCCGGAAAGAAAUCCUUGGCCCUAAUACGGUCGGGGGAUGACGGUACCGGAAGAAUAAGCACCGGCUAACUACGUG
rnacentral:rRNA from 1 species